GACUAUGGCCAUGCUACCCUGAACAAGCCUGAUCCCAUCUGAUCUUGGAAGCUAAGCAAGGUCAGGCCUGGUUUGUAGUUAGCUGAGAGACCACCUAGGAAGACCUGGUUCUGUAGUCA
ensembl:rRNA 5S_rRNA 5S ribosomal RNA